GCAUUGGUGGUUCAGUGGUAGAAUUCUUGCCUUCCAUGUGAAAGACUUGGGUUUGAUUCCUGGCUAAUAUA
rnacentral:tRNA from 1 species